rnacentral:rRNA from 1 species
CCUACGGGAGGCAGCAGUCGAGAAUCUUCCGCAAUGGGCGAAAGCCUGACGGAGCGACGCCGCGUGAUUGAUGAAGUCCUUCGGGAUGUAAAAAUCUUUUCUCAAGGAGGAAGUUUAUUGACGUUACUUGAGGAAUAAGAGGUUGCUAAACUCGUGCCAGCAGCAGCGGUAAUACGAGUGCCUCGAGCGUUAUCCGGAAUUAUUGGGCGUAAAGGGUGCGUAGGCUGAUAUAUUAGUCUUUUGUUAAAGCUCCGGGCACAACUCGGAAAAGGCAAGAGAAACGGUAUAUCUAGAGGAUGUGAGAGGUAAGCGGAACUUAUGGUGUAGGGGUGAAAUCCGUUGAUAUCACAAGGAACACCAAAAGCGAAGGCAGCUUACUGGCACAUUCCUGACGCUGAGGCACGAAAGCGUGGGUAGCGAAAGGGAUUAGAUACCCGAGUAGUC